CGGAGAAGGGGCUCCA
rnacentral:sRNA from 1 species